rnacentral:misc_RNA from 1 species
GUGAAACUUCAAAGUCGGCUCGUCUACUGUGCUGGUGGAGACACAUGUGCACGUUGCGAGUCGCAAAUCCACACACCUGUGCAUCUAUGACUCUGAGUGCCGCUUUGCAUGGCCUUGACCGGCCUGGCGCUCGAGUACUUUCACACACUCUCGAAUGUAAUGGAAUGUCUAUUGUGCAUAAUGUGCAAAAGAAA